GGAUGUAAGGGUGAUCUGGCUGUGAUAUCUGUCGCCCAUUGAUCCCCAGGACUGAUAUUGCUCAUCUGGCUGGCUGAUAUGAUGUCUCUUUCCUCCUUCAUCACUCCAUGUGUGUCCCCCGCAGAGCUACACCACAUUCCCUGAUCAGAGAGGGCCAUUCUACAGUUCAGGCUAUAUGAGCAACUGUGCCCCCCUGCUGGAACUUCCAAAUAAGCUCUCAAGGUUCAAAAAGGAAGCAAAAGGCUUAAAAUCCCCUACAUAAACUCUGUGAAUUGAAAGAGA
ensembl:misc_RNA 7SK 7SK RNA